rnacentral:rRNA from 1 species
AGCAGGCGCGUAAAUUGCCCGAAUCCUGACACAGGGAGGUAGUGACAAGAAAUAACGAUACAGGGCUACAUCUAGUCUUGUAAUUGGAAUGAGUACAAUUUACAUCUCUUAACGAUGAUCAAUUGGAGGGCAAGUCUGGUGUCAGCAGCCGCGGUAAUUCCAGCUCCAAUAGCGUAUAUUAAAGUUGUUGCAGUUAGAACGCUCGUAGUCGGAUUUCGGGGCGUUCCGACCGGUCUGCCGAUGGGUAUGCACUGGCCGGAGUGUCCUUUUUGCCGGAGACCGUGCCUACUCUUAACUGAGCGGGGGCGGGAGACGGCACUUUUACUUUGAAAAAAUCAGAGUGUUUCAAGCAGGCAGCUCGCUCUUGCAUGGAUUAGCAUGGGAUAAUGAAAUAGGACUUUGGUGCUAUUUUGUUGGUUUCGAACACCGAAGUAAUGAUGAGAAGGGACAGUCAGGGGCACUCGUAUUCCGCAGAGAGAGGUGAAAUUCUCAGACCCGCGGAAGACGAACCACUGCGAAAGCAUUUGCCAGGGAUGUUUUCACUGAUCAAGAACGAAAGUUAGGGGAUCGAAGAUGAUCAGAUACCGUCGUAGUCUUAACCAUAAACCAUGCCGACUAGGGAUUGGAGGAUGUUCACUGAUUGACUCCUUCAGCACCUUACGGGAAACUAAAGUCUUUGGGUUCCGGGGGGAGUAUGGUCGCAAGGCUGAAACUUAAAGGAAUUGACGGAAGGGCACCACCAGGUGUGGAGCCUGCGGCUUAAUUUGACUCAACACGGGGAAACUUACCAGGUCCAGACAUUGUGAGGAUUGACAGAUUGAGAGCUCUUUCAUGAUUUAAUGGGUGGUGGUGCAUGGCCGUUCUUAGUUGGUGGAGUGUUUUGUCUGGUUAAUUCCGUUAACGAACGAGACCUUAGCCUGCUAAAUAGUGACGCGAACUCUUUGUUGGCGGUCCACUUCUUAGAGGGACAACUUGUCUUCAACAAGUGGAAGUUUGAGGCAAUAACAGGUCUGUGAUGCCCCUAGAUGUUCUGGGCCGCACGCGCGCUACACUGAUGCACUCAACAAGUCUCCAUCUUGACCGAGAGGUCCGGGAAACCUUCGAACUUGCAUCGUGAUGGGGAUAGAUUAUUGCAACUAUUAAUCUUCAACGAGGAAUACCUAGUAGGCGCAUGUCAUCAGCGUGCGUUGA